CGGGUUAGGUUAGCGGGCGUGAGGUGUUGGGAGGGAAGGAGGAGCUAGAGAGAGGGAGUCGGUGGUGUUUGGGAUCCAGGAGGGGAAGAUGGGAUGAGAGGUGGCGCGGCGGAGGAGGAGGGGAAGUGGUAAGGGAGGUCGCCGUCCGUGUCCCUCUGCUGCUGCCGCGAGCUAAACUCGGCGGGGCGAGGGGAGGGAGAGGUGACGCGGAGCCGGAGCCGGCGGGGCACGAGACGGCCGCGGGCAGCCGGAGCUAGGCCGGAACCGUCCUCCUCGAGCGGGAGCUCUGUCCUCCUCCCCUCGUCCUCCUAUGUCCUCGUACCGGAAGAAGAGCGCGACGUCGGUGGCCGGAACAGGACGAGCUCCUCCUCCUCGUCGUCCUCCCCGCGUGGGUCGGUGGUUCCAUCGGAAGCAGCUCCCGAAGAAUGUGGACUUGGAGCUAGAGGUGCCACGACCGCAGGUCGUUGAGUUCAAGUUCCCUUCCUCUCCUACUACUGCGGGUCUGUACCUCUCCUUGUUGUCGUCGAGUUCUACGAUUACACCGACGGUAUAGACACGGUUCGUCACGGACGAAUAUUUCACCACUUCGAUGUCCCUUCUCCCUCCUUCAGCCGCUGUCCCACUUCCUCGUCCGGCCGGGAGUACCUCCGUCGCGAUGGUCGGUCGAUCCCUCCGCCAGGCCGAGUGGAGACGAUACGGUACUCGCCGCCGCGAUGGAGACGGAGGUCAGAGUGGAGGAGACGGUUGGUAACCUUUUAAAUCCCCUCUGGGUUCCGCUCGAAGGGGAGACAACGUACGUGAGGACUAGAGAUUUCUAAAGACAUCGGAUUUACGGAUACAUGGUACAUUCGUUCGGGUUGGAUUACGUGUGGUAGUCGAACUACUUAAUGGUUUACCAAACAAAAACAACGUAUAUCUGGUAACUGCCCACACGUCCUCGGGAAGAUUAACCACGAGAUACACACAAAAGAAAAGAAAACAACGUCUUAUUAUUAAGUUCGCCUACCGGUUACGUGGAACCACAAAUCGUCAUACUACCAGCCACUUUCAUACAAUAUAUAUAUAUAACGUUCCUAGUAUUCUACGAAAAUGUGUACUAACACACUACGAGUCUCUGUAAAGCGUGUCAUCUUUGAAGAACACUUCGAACUAAAAUAAGUCCACGGAUUGACUGAUGGUGAAGGAGCCGCAAACACGAAUGGUCGUACGACAUUUGAAGAACACUUCGAGCGACAAAGUACACGGAUUGACUGACGGUGAAAGGUAUUAGUACGAAUAAACGUAGGUCUACCACUAAAACCCGACUUUCUAAUAACGUUCGAAUCUUAGAAAAUUUACGGGAAUAACUGUACUAAACAUACUAUUUGAAGGUUUUAUAAGUAAAUUGUAACGAUAAAAAGAAGUCUCGGUAUACUUAAAAAAAUAUCUUUGUACACGUCUCAUUUUACCUGUGUAGAAGACCAUGUAGACUCCAUAUCUUAGCCGUUAGAAGUAACUUACAACAUUGUAUAAAUGUUGAUCUAAGUUAAAAUUUAGUAUUUAUCUUCAGCAAAUUCAAAGCCUAUCAAUAUACUACACGGUACACGUACGAAAUGUCAAUGGAACGUUCACAGCACUACAACGUAUCUAUAAAGAAAUAGAUAUACUUACAACCUGGGACGCACUAACUAGAAUAAAACAAGGAUACACUCUUGAUCGAGAGGAAAUCAUCACAUCAUGAAGAUACGAUUUGACUUGGUCCUUACCAAACUAACACGAGACAUCCUGUCACACUAAAUAAAAGUAUCUUACAACAGUAGAUAUAGAACGACUUCAUGUCUUGAUAACCAGUCAAUUAAGAGAGUGAGUAGUUAAAUGUUUAAGUCAUGAGGGAAACAUUUGUUUAUAUCCUCACAAAUCUAGUGAUAAAAUCACUAGAUUUGCGAGAAUAUAAUUAAAUGCCUCCCUGAUAAAAUAAAGUGUACCCCGAACCGACCAAAUGCAAAUUAAGUACGUAGUAUAUACCAACAAAUCAAGUCUGAACACGUACACGUACGUAACCUUAACUAAAUUGUUUCUAUAUCGUACUAAUACAUGUAUUUUUAUCAUACUCAUACGUACUAGAUACUUAUUUACGAGCCUAUAUCAAUCAGUACUCUAUCAUCCUCAUAGUACUCGAAUGUUGGAGACCUAUACUAAUUAUGAAUUUACCGUACAUCAACAAGUUUUUAGACCUUACAGAAAGCUCUUGACAACUAGUCACAACGAUAUUCAUAAAGAGUCUCAAAACCAACGUACCUACAUGUAAUCUCAUCGUCUCCAAGAAUAAAAUGAAACAGGUCUUCUCCCCGAAAAUGAAUAAAAACAAGUGUUAAAAAUAGAUUGAAAGAUAGUCGUGGUUGCUGGUGUUACCCUACCUAGUUCGUCGGUUCUGAAUCUCACACCAGCCCGUCGCGGUACCCCGUCUAGACACGCCGCGUUCCCCGCCGUCUACGCUUUGACUUCGAAGGGACUUGAAGCCUCGUCAGUUAACUCUUCUACCUGUGCUGCUCACUCCUAACCACGAUGGCGGGGACCAUCCUCGGGUUACAGGAUUAGCUUGAUGACAGUACCUCUCCCGUUAUGCACCUAAACGAAGUCUAUAACCUCUGUUGCGGUAACACGGCUUCGAGCCUUGUUAGAAGUUAUGUAACUCACUUCGUAUGCUAAAAAUGUUAGACAUAAAUACCCUCUUUCCUAAACCGUAAGCUAUACCAUUUUCGACAGACUUACAACUCUCCUGCACCUUUAGAUAACACCUAUUAUGACCAGAACGGCCGCAAUCACGGGAUGAGACUAUUCCGACGACGUCAGACUUGGUAAGUAACAUAGUGUGCAUACGCGUCUGCUAUGUGACUGCUAGCGUGUUCGUGUAGUUGCACGUGUCGUCCCUAAACUACUUCUUAAACUCCGUCUUGUUACACUUGGAACGAUUUCACGUGUUGUAAUCCGUCAAAGGAACCCAGCUACCUCUUACACGGAAAGUGUUUUUCUCGAAGUUCCUCGAACACACCGUUUUAUUCGACGCUCGUUGGCCGACUACUACAAUCAAUUUGCUACCUCCACAAACGCCUCGAACCAAGUUUCCUAGGAGUGAAGUGUAUAGUACAUGUCCGGCUAUUCCUCCCUUCCUAUUUGCGUGAGCACACCCGUUUACCCCUGUCAUCCGACCACGUUUUUUCUGACAUCGAAUAAGAGUUUAAAAGACAGAGAUUAUGACUUAAACCACACAUGGCUAUUUAGUACAUCGCACACUCUAGGUAGUACGUCAAAUUGACGAUUAGGGUUAAUACAAUACGUACGGGACUUCGACUACUUAAACACAAGAGGAUAUGACUUUA
rnacentral:rRNA from 1 species